rnacentral:rRNA from 1 species
AGUGAACGCUGGCGGUAGGCCUAACACAUGCAAGUCGAACGGCAGCACAGUAAGAGCUUGCUCUUACGGGUGGCGAGUGGCGGACGGGUGAGGAAUACAUCGGAAUCUACUUUUUCGUAGGGGAUAACGUAGGGAAACUUACGCUAAUACCGCAUACGACCUACGGGUGAAAGCAGGGGAUCUUCGGACCUUGCGCGAUUGAAUGAGCCGAUGUCGGAUUAGCUAGUUGGCGGGGUAAAGGCCCACCAAGGCGACGAUCCGUAGCUGGUCUGAGAGGAUGAGCAGCCACACUGGAACUGAGACACGGUCAAGACUCCUACGGGAGGCAGCAGUGGGGAAUAUUGGACAAUGGGCGCAAGCCUGAUCCAGCCAUACCGCGUGGGUGAAGAAGGCCUUCGGGUUGUAAAGCCCUUUUGUUGGGAAAGAAAAGCAGCAGGUUAAUACCCCGCUGUUCUGACGGUACCCAAAGAAUAAGCACCGGCUAACUUCGUG